rnacentral:tRNA from 1 species
GGGCCGCUAGCUCAUCGGGUAGAGCGACGGGCUUUUAACCCGGAGGUGCAGGGUUCGAGACCCUGGCGGCCCA